GCGCAGCAGGCGAGAAACCUCCGCAAUGCUCGAAAGAGCGACGGGGGGACUCCAAGUGCCUACGCUCAGCGUAGGCUGUUCCCGAGCCUAAAAAGCUCGGGGAGUAAGGGCUGGGUAAGACGGGUGCCAGCCGCCGCGGUAAUACCCGCAGCCCGAGUGGUGGCCGCUAUUAUUGGGCCUAAAGCGUCCGUAGCCGGCUCGGUAAAUGCCUGGGUAAAUCGUCUGGCCCAACCAGACGAAUUCCGGGUAGACUGCCGGGCUAGGGACCGGAGGAGGGAGAGGGUACUCCAGGGGUAGGGGUGAAAUCAGCAAGGUGAGUUGCUGAUGUAACUUGCCUUGCAAGUCACAAUCCUGUAAUCCCUGGAGGACCACCGGUGGCGAAGGCGCUCUCCUAGGACGGGUCCGACGGUGAGGGACGAAAGCCAGGGGAGCAAACCGGAUUAGAUACCCGUGUAGU
rnacentral:rRNA from 1 species